GGCGACUCAAGAUGGGGUAGUAGUCUGCCUGGCACAGUUUCCUUCUCACAGAAGGUAACUCUGUCCGGCAUGAUGGAUUCCUGGACUCCUCGAACAGAUAGUCUGGAAGGAAGCUCGAAAAGGGAACUACCAUCACGUGCCCCGUGCCAGAGCUGGGUACUUUGGUGAACCUCGUCUCCUAGCUCCUACCUCGGCUUCGAGGUGGUUCUCACCAUCCCCAUUUUUCAGGGAAUACCCUUAAAGCUUGGACUACAGAUCCCAGGUCGCUGUGCCCUUCCUCCGGCCGCCAUCGUCGCCGUGCCCCCGCCCCACUCACUGCCAUUGUCUCCGCCGAAGAGAUCAGUGGGGAGCCGGGAAGACUGCAACUCCCGGCAGGCUCUGCGCUGCCGGGUGUGCGAUUUUGAUAUUACAGGCGGGCGAGGUGCUCAAGGUGGCCGAAUGAAACGACCAGGAGAGGCUAGGUAGUCUAGCAUCUUUAUGGUAGUCUCUUUAUCCUCCUGGCUCCACCACCCUUGAGGAACGCUAGAAGGAUAGAAAACUACUAUUCCCAUCGCGCCUCUAAAAUCGCCUGCUAGUCAGGUGUACGCCCCUCCUCCGCCAUCUUGUUUGUAGUCCUCGUUCCUUUUCACCUUUCCAUUGUUCCUGACGAGUAGAAAUGGCAGCGGGAAGGCAGCAGAAGGACUGCGACUCCCGUCAGGUACCACACACGCGGAGGGUUGUGGACAGAAGGGCGUGUGAGUGCCUGGGAAGGAGGUCGGGUCGGGGGGGAAGGCCAUCUUGUUUGUAGUCACCGCUCCCGCUCCUGUUCUAUGUUCUGCAACGGGGAGCCUCGGGGAAGCCGGACUACAACUCCCGGCAUGCUCGGCUCCCGGCGGGGCAUGCCCUUCGCCAUCUUGCUUGUAGUGCCCGCUGGCCCCUGCGUCCUAUUCCCGCGGUAGCUCCAGCAUCCGCAGGACUACAACUCCCGUCGUGCGCUGCACGCGCUCGUCCUGGAAAGUGGAGGUGGUGGAGGAAGGAGGGGGCAGGGG
ensembl:lncRNA